rnacentral:rRNA from 1 species
UACGUAGGUGGCGAGCGUUGUCCGGAUUCAUUGGGUUUAAAGGGUGCGUAGGCGUCCCGGAAAGUUUCAGGUGAAAUGCUCAAGCUUAACUUGAGAGCUGCCUGAAAACCUGUCGGGAUUGAGUGCUAGCGAGGCAGGCGGAAUUGACGGUGUAGCGGUGAAAUGCAUAGAUAUCGUCAAGAACACCGAUAGUGUAGACAGCUUGCCAGGGAGCAACUGACGCUGAGGCACGAAAGUGUGGGGAUCAAACAGG